UGGGAAGGGGUACAAAUGUAUCAGUUGUAAAUGACGUUUGGAUUCCUGAUUUAAGUUUCACCAAAUUAUCAUCUUUAGUUUAUAAUUUGAGUGAUGUUAAAGUUGCUGAGUUAAUUAACACUAAUAGUAGACUGUGGAAAAAAGAGUUGAUUGAGUCUACCUUUCCAGAAGAAGUAGCUGAUAGGAUUCUUCGCAUUCCACUGGCAGUUGAGCCUCACGAUGAUCUUCUGGCAUGGAGCGGUGAGCCUUCGGGUGAGUAUACAGUUCGCAACGCCUAUAAACUAUUACAAAGUUUGGUUGAAAAUCCUAGAGCUUAUGAGUUACAAACCGAUUACAAGGGCUUCUAUAAAAAACUAUGGCUAUUUAACCUACCUUCAAAAAUAAAAAUAACAGUAUGGAAAGUAACAUGGAACUAUCUUCCUUUACGGGCAAACAUGCAACAAAGGAGAUUGACAAACAUUACAAUCUGCCCGAGGUGUGGGAGUGGGACAGAGACGAUGAAUCACUUAUUUAGAGGAUGCCCGGUUUCAGUAUCAGUAUGGGGAGAAUUAGCAUGCCAGAUUUUUCUAUCUGAAUAUAAUUUGGAGUUCCCAAAGUGGCUAGUCUGGGUCUUUGAACAGAGUAAUCCAGUCCAGUGUAGGAUUUUCUGUUGCACUUUAUGGGCAAUCUGGGGAGAUAGAAACGCAAGAGUGCAUAAGAAGGUCAGUAAAUCUGGAAAAGAGAUAGUAAAAUUUGUGAACAGUUAUAUUCUUGAAUUAAAUGAGAUCGAAACAAGAAGGCCAAAAGUUUUUCCAGUUGUCAGUAAAUGGAAGCACCCACCUGAUCAGUUUGUGAAGAUCAACUUUGAUGUUGCAUAUGAUGUGAGAUCUUCUCAUGCGGCGCUCGAAAUUGUGGCCAGGAACAACGAAGGAAAGGUUCUCCUGGCAUGCUCAGAAAUCCACAAUCAAGUCGCUUCAGCCUUUGCUGCUGAGGCAAUCGCGUGUAGAAGUGCAACUCAACUCGGCAUUGACAUGAAAUGGGGAAACAUUAUCAUCGAAGGGGAUUCAUUAACAAUAAUCAAGAAGUGCAGAACAAAGAGCCAAGAUAAGUCAUUGAUAGGGGCGUAUAUACAUGAUAUUCAACAGAUCUCGCUUAAAACUCAAAAAUACAGUUUCGAAUAUACUCUACGAACAGCAAAUCGUCUAGCACAUU
rnacentral:lncRNA from 1 species